GAGAAUAGCCUCCACCCACGCACAAUUAUAACAUCUAGAAGCAGUAACAAACUGCUACGCGAUACCCCCUUCAACUAAAAUCAAACCCGAUUCCACCAAUCAAUCCCAAGAGUAAUUCUAAAUCAACUUGUUUUCCUCUCCUCUCCAUCAUCACGCGCUUGUCCAUGCAAUUUUGUAGGAGGAAGAACCUCGAAGCUUCUAGAAAACAUCUUAGGUGUCUCCUCUAAUGUCUAUAUUCCAUAAAUUUUGGAAUAAGGGUACGGAUUAGGUAUGCAUUUGGGCAUUUUUCAUUGAUUGGGAAAAGGUUUUGAUUUUCCCCAUUUUUAAUUGGUUCACUCAUUUGCCAUUUUCUGAAGAAAUCCAAAGAAGAUGGUACGGUUUUGAGCAAAAAUGGGUUGGGGGGGGGGAAGAUUUUUGAAUUUAAAAAGUCAAAAAAUAUCUUUCUUCCAAACCCCUAAAAUACCAUACUUCGUCUUCUAUAUAAAGACGGUUGGGUUACUAGUUUUAGGGUCUUCUAUUUUUCAGAGAAUUAGGGUCGAAAAAUUUUGGGGGGUUCUUUUUUUUUCUCUUCAUUCAAGGUUAGAGAUUUUGGUUUGGAGAUUCGAGGGUUAGGGUUCUUUCGGUGAAAUUUUAAGGAUUUUCGGGCCCUGAGGUUUAGGAAAUACAAACUGAAAGGAAUUCUAUGCUUGAACCCAAAAAGGGGAUUUCGAGAAAAGAAAACCAUCCUUCAGCAAUAGUUUUAGAAAAAUCGUCGACUAGUUGAGACUCUUGCGAAGAAUUUGGAUUUUUUCGGUGGUGAUAGAAUCCGGUGUUAACUCGUUGCCCUGUUUUGUUGCCCCGAAAGAGGAAAAUCUACUCUUUCACCUUUUAAUCUAUCGUUUUACUUCUUCAUUUCUUCUCUUCAUAAAAUUAAUUCACUGUUUAUUAAUAAUCAUGAAUGAGGCUGGGAUUUCUCUACUGCAGUUGGCUAUGAUGGCCUUAGGGGUUGUUUUGUGACUAUUGUUGUACCAUUUCCCUAAAGCAGUGCUUAAGUUGUAAUUUUUAAUGCGGCCAUGUCAAACAUACUGUCUUAAACUGAUGCGGUGGUUUACCUGAGAGUUCAUGGUAUGAAUCAACAUAUACAUCAUCAAGAUUUUUCCUUUCAUUUCCAGUUUUCUUUUUUGUAUCUAGAGUUUUUGCUAUGCUAGGCUAAUUGUUGUUGUAAUCGUUUGAUCCAUGAUUUUAACUUUGUUUUUCUUCCCUCGGUUUUGCAGUCUAUUGCUUAAACCUUGAUAUCGUUAUUUAGUUAUUUACCCAUUAUUUUUAUUUCACAUGUUGCUUUGUUCAUUCACUGUAAACAGUUUGCCUAGAUGUUGCAACUUGCUUAAUAAGAUUAGAGUAAAAUUCCUAUGUUUAAUUUUAUGUUUCUUAAGCAGGUUGUAUAGUUUAAGUUUUGAGUGGAAUAUUAUUUCUUUUGUUGCAUUACUUGGGGUAUUGGUCCUAUGGUAUUAUUGGAUGUGUUGAAUAUAUCGUCUUGCCAUUUCUUGUCUAGAUUAUUUUAUUUUGAGUCGAGGGUCUAGCGGAAACAACCUAUUCAAAUCGCUUUCCCUCUUGUUUCUUUACUUUUGAUUCAAUUUUGGUUCAUUUGACUAGGGCUCUUAGAGUUCUGUAAGGAAUAUUUCAACCAUCGAAUGAUGCGUCUGCAACUUACUGGCAUAUAUAAGUAUUAAACAUAGUUCUAAUAACAAUAAUAAAAAAAAAAAAGUUGCAAAUAGAAUAAAGUUCCAUUAUUUAAUUCAGGAAUCCAAUGAUAAGGUUGAUCAUCCUAGGUUGUUUUAACAAAUCACCAUCAAAUCAUUCUGCCCUCAAUUCGUUACCUUACAUUAUGAAGCCUGCCUGUUGAAAUUUUGUUUCCUUUAGUUGCUUAACUGGAAAUUGGUUGUAUGUGAUGUAGUGGUUUUCUCUUUAUUAAACUUUGGUUAAAAUAUUUUCCCUUAUAUUUUGCCUAAAAUGCAUAUUUCUAUACAUGCUUUUGAUUAGCCGUUUCUAAUCCUUAUUCAUUUCCUUUGCAUGCACUAUGUACCCUGAGUUCAAAAUGGACUCAUUCUCCCCUUGCAUUUUCUCUAUGGGCCACGGGGCUCGCCAUUUCUAUGACAAUCAUUUUGGAAAGAAAGCCCAAACAUCGAUCAUAUGACCUCCGGAUGCAAGAAACCAAAGGAGGAAAGAUGGAUCAAAAUCCUAUCUUUGAAGCGGCCAAGAGACUCGAGAGUCCCGUCUUUCACUCAUUUAUUUAUUUAUUCUAUUUAUUUCCUUAACCCUUUAUGGCUGCCUUUGUUCAUUUCUUCUCAUUAUUCAUUCAUCUGGGCCUCGAAGUCAAAGUUGUAUUUAAUACAGGUGGAGCAAGAUUCGAGCUAAAGGUUCGAAAAAUAGUUAGGACAGGUGAAAUGGGUCAGAAGCCCAACUAGACUAGGACAGGUCUCGUUGAUUUGGGCCCAAUGGCCUAAAUCCUUUACUUUCUCCUCCCUUUCCCUUUUAUGUGUUUAUUUGUUUAUUAGUUUUGUUUAGACUUAGUUAAAAUCCCUACUAAGUUGCCUAAAUCUAUUUUACACAAAUAUUUUUUUUUAAAUGAAAUUACUAUUUCAACAAAUUAAUCUUUUCAGAAGUUAAUCAAAAGAUAUUUUCAAACAGUCCGGACAACCACAAGUUAGCGGACGUUUUAGGUUCCUAACACCUUCCUAAAACGUUAAUAAGAAUCGCUUUCUCAGAAUCUCUAACUUAAAAUAAUUUUCCUAUUUUGAAUCAUUUUAAGUAACUCUCUAAAGAUUUCUUAAUUUCUUUUCAAAAUUAAGUGGCGACUCUUCUUUCAAGUCAAAAUUUUCGCAAAACAGAAAUGGCGACUCUGCUGGGGAAUGAUUAACUAGGUUCUAACCAAAUGUUUGAUUUUGUCUUUUGAUUAACUGUUUAUAUGUCUAUAUGUUUCGAUUCUGUAAAGUUUAAUUAUCGUAUCUCAUGGCGUAUUCCUGUAUUAUUUAAACUGUUUUGGGGUUUCGUGGAUGUCCCGGCCCCUACUGUUCAAUUUCAAAAUAUGUUGGAAAUAUGAACAGCUUAUUAGCACGUGAGUCAUCUGACAUUACUCAUAUUUUGAAACUCAAGUUUUCCUCUUAAGAACCAGUGUUCAAACCCACUUUGACCACCGAGGAUAGAACGAAACCAAAACCCUAUUUUAGGCAUGAGCCUAGGACGACCCAAUACCCGAGAGGGGUAUUUGGCCCAUUAGAAAACCCGCCCCGUGUCUAUUGACCCUGAGUCAAUUACAGACGAAUCAUAUUUAUGUGUUGAUAAAAAUACAUGCUUGUCUAAAUUCAAUCCAUUAUCCUUUGGGGUCGGGGGGAGGCUUAUCUUUGUCUGCUUUCAUGUAGGAUAUGGCUCAACUACAUUCCCACAAAACGUUCAAGAUGGUUACUAAACCUGAUGAUUUCUUGAAACUAUGGUGGGACCACAUGAGCGCAGAAGAGAAAAAGAUUGUUAGAACACACAUUGGG
rnacentral:lncRNA from 1 species